rnacentral:rRNA from 1 species
GACGAACGCUGGCGGCGCGCUUAACACAUGCAAGUCGAGCGAGAACCAUUCCUUCGGGAAUGGGGACAGCGGCGAACGGGUGAGUAACACGUGGGUAAUCUGCCCUCGAUUCUGGGAUAGCCCGGGGAAACCCGGAUUAAUACCGGAUAGCCUCUCGAGCUUACGAGCUCGUGAGAAAAGGUAGCUUCGGCCUCCGAUCGAGGAUGAGCCCGCGGCGGAUUAGCUUGUUGGUGGGGUAAGGCCUACCAAGGCGACGAUCCGUAGCUGGUCUGAGAGGACGAUCAGCCACACUGGGACUGAGACACGGCCCAGACUCCUACGGGAGGCAGCAGUGGGGAAUCUUGCGCAAUGGGCGAAAGCCUGACGCAGCGACGCCGCGUGGGGAAGAAGGCCU